GCCUGGGUGGCUCAGUCAGUUGAGCGUCCAGCUUCGAUUCAGGUCAUGAUCUCACGGCUCGUGGGUUUGAGCCCCGCCUCGGGCU
rnacentral:tRNA from 1 species